rnacentral:rRNA from 1 species
UACGGGGGGAGCAAGCGUUGUUCGGAUUUACUGGGCGUAAAGGGCGCGUAGGCGGUCGUGACAAGUCACUUGUGAAAUCUCCGGGCUUAACUCGGAACGGUCAAGUGAUACUGUCGGACUAGAGUACAGAAGGGGCAACUGGAAUUCUCGGUGUAGCGGUGAAAUGCGUAGAUAUCAAGCGGAACACCGGUGGCGAAGGCGGCCUUCUGGACGAUGACUGACGCUGAAGCGCGAAAGCGUGGGGAGCAAACAGG